rnacentral:rRNA from 1 species
GAUGAACGCUGGCGGCGUGCCUAAUACAUGCAAGUCGAGCGAACAGACGAGGAGCUUGCCCCUCUGACGUUAGCGGCGGACGGGUGAGUAACACGUGGAUAACCUACCUAUAAGACUGGGAUAACUUCGGGAAACCGGUGCUAAUACCGGAUAAUAUAUUGAACCGCAUGGUUCAAUAGUGAAAGACGGUUUUGCUGUCACUUAUAGAUGGAUCCGCGCCGGAUUAGCUAGUUGGUAAGGUAACGGCUUACCAAGGCAACGAUGCGUAGCCGACCUGAGAGGAUGAUCGGCCACACUGGAACUGAGACACGGUCCAGACUCCUACGGGAGGCAGCAGUAGGGAAUCUUCCGCAAUGGGCGAAAGCCUGACGGAGCAACGCCGCGUGAGUGAUGAAGGUCUUCGGAUCGUAAAACUCUGUUAUUAGGGAAGAACAAAUGUGUAAGUAACUAUGCACGUCUUGACGGUACCUAAUCAGAAAGCCACGGCUAACUACGUG